AGCGAACGCUGGCGGCAGGCCUAAUACAUGCAAGUCGAACGGUCUCUUCGGAGGCAGUGGCGGACGGGUGAGUAACGCGUGGGAACGUGCCCUUUGGUACGGAACAACUGAGGGAAACUUCAGCUAAUACCGUAUGUGCCCUUCGGGGGAAAGAUUUAUCGCCAUUGGAGCGGCCCGCGUUGGAUUAGCUAAGUUGGUGGGGUAAUGGCCCACCAAGGCGACGAUCCAUAGCUGGUCUGAGAGGAUGAUCAGCCACACUGGGACUGAGACACGGCCCAGACUCCUACGGGAGGCAGCAGUAGGGAAUCUUGCGCAAUGGGCGAAAGCCUGACGCAGCCAUGCCGCGUGAAUGAUGAAGGUCUUAGGAUGUAAAAUUCUUUCACCGGGGACGAUAAUGACGGUACCCGGAGAAGAAGCCCCGGCUAACUUCGUGCCAGCAGCCGCGGUAAU
rnacentral:rRNA from 1 species